rnacentral:rRNA from 1 species
GACGAACGCUGGCGGCGUGCUUAACACAUGCGAGUCGAACGGUGAAGCGCCUUCCUUUUUGGUGGGUGUGGAUGAGUGGCGAACGGGUGAGUAACACGUGAGUAACCUGCCCCCUUCUUCUGGAUAACCGCAUGAAAGUGUGGCUAAUACGGGAUAUUCUGGGUCUGUCGCAUGAUGGGUCUGGGAAAGAUAUUGUUUCGGUGGGGGAUGGGCUCGCGGCCUAUCAGCUUGUUGGUGGGGUGAUGGCCUACCAAGGCGGUGACGGGUAGCCGGCCUGAGAGGGUGGACGGUCACACUGGGACUGAGACACGGCCCAGACUCCUACGGGAGGCAGCAGUGGGGAAUAUUGCACAAUGGGCGCAAGCCUGAUGCAGCGACGCCGCGUGAGGGAUGGAGGCCUUCGGGUUGUGAACCUCUUUCGCCAGUGAAGCAGGCCUGCCUCGUUUGUGGGUGGGUUGACGGUAGCUGGAUAAGAAGCGCCGGCUAACUACGUG